rnacentral:lncRNA from 1 species
AUCUGCACCGUCUUGAAGACGUAGAAGAAGGCGUUACGCUGCAUGAGCAGCCACUCUUUGUCCCAGCAGCUCUUGAGAAGCUCCAUCUUCGAGACGGAGUACUUGUCGAAAACAAGAGCUGCUUUGUGGCCGCGAGACUUGUCGAAAGGUACAGAGAGCUCGUUGGAAAGCUUCUGCCCAACGUGGAAGGACUUGUAUCUGCUGGCGAACUCCGAAACCGGAAUGUACCGGUAAGGUCUGUUCCGGUCCACCCAGUAUUGCUCCUGGUCUUUCUUGGAGGUGACCUCUUGCAAAAAAUCAGCCGUUCCUUUUCUCUCGGGACACUUGAACCCAAAGCUCUCGAAGAACUCGAGGAUGUGGUCUCUGGGUCCUUGGUAUACUAUCUGCCCCUCCGACAACAAGAUGAUGUCAUCGAAUAAGUCAAAAGUCUCGGGAGCAGGCUGGAGGAGGGACAUGAGCACCGUGGCGUCAGUGAGGUGAACGAUCUGCUGAAGGCACUUGACGAUUUGGAAAGUGGUGGAGCUGUCAAGACCGGUGGAUAUCUCGUCCAUGAAAAGCGUCUUGGUAGGUCCCACAAUCAUCUCACCGGUUGUGACACGUUUCUUCUGUCCUCCGGAGAUACCUCUCAUCAUGUCAUCUCCAACUAUGGUGUCUUUGCAAAUGUCAAGCCCCAGAAUCUGUUCCAAGAAUCAGAGUUUUAGUAUCAGUAUUGUGCCAAAACAACAACAUAAAACAAUCAUAGUGAUUCUUGUGUUUUCAAAUCCGAAUCAAACUUUUAUAAUAUCCGAAUGGGGCUGAAAUUCAUAAACUCGAAAAUCCCAAAAUUGAACUCGAACCUAAACCCGAUUGGUCCCAAUGUCCAGUUCUACUUAGAAUUAAUAUUUAAAAAAAAUAAAAAAUUAAACAGGUUAGGGAAGAGAGGCUCCUCACUUUGAGAGUGUAAUCAGUGACGAGGCUGCUCUUAACACCUUGAGCAGCGGAGGCUUUCAUGAAGAGAUCAACAUCGGCUUCAGGGAAGAUCCCAGCGUCCUUUUCUCUCCUUGCCAGCUCGUUCAACAGAUCUGCAAGAUCAUAAUCCCAUUCAUUCAACAAUAGCACAUAAAAAUAAAAUAAAAUAAAAUGAAGUCAAGAUUGUUGUUAUUACCGUAACGGGUACCAACACCUUGGCACCUAGCGGAAAAAUCAAGAGUCUCCUUAACCGUCAUGAUACCAACGUGUAGAUCGUUCUGGCUAAUAUACGCAGACGUUUUUCUAGGAACAAACUCGUCGAGGCGGUAACCGUUGUAAGUAAUAUCACCAGUGACCUCAAGGGCUUUGUCAAGCUUUCCAGCAAGAGCCAAUAGAAGCGUGGUCUUACCAGAAGAAGGUGGACCCAACAAAAGCGUCAUCCUCCCAGGUUUGACACUCCCAGAGAUAUCUUUAAGAAUCGUCAGCUGAGCUUUCUUAGCAAACUGAAUCCCAAUCAUCCCCAGAGCAGACUCCGCCAUGUUCCUCACCACGUUAAGAAGCGUGGGGAGAGAUCUAUUACCAGUGUAGCAGUCGGCUUUGAUGGUCAGGUGCUCGUACCUCACCUCUACAGUAGGUAGCUUGAUGCCGACUCUAUCUAUCCUGUUCCUCAGCUUGGUCAAGAUCCGCUCGUUGUCUUGCUCGGCGACUUUGAAAACCAUGUCGAUGAACUUCUGACGAUCCUCUCCGUCGAGCUUGGUCACGUCGACCUCCUUGCUGAGGAGCUGGUUGCCGUAGACGUCGUCCUCGAUGACGGAGGUCAUGAGAGUGGUGCGGAGACGGCUGUAGGUGGGGAGUUUCUCGAUGGCGGCCCAUUUGAGAGCCUCUUCGUCGUCGUUGACGGACUGCGUGCGUCUAGAACCGGAGGAGAAGAUGUCUUCGAGGUUUCUGCUGGCUCUGCUGACGCUUCUGCUGAUGCUUCGCCGCAUACUCCCACCUCCUCCGCCUAGCGGAAGGUUUGGGUUGUAAUCCAUCUUUGCCUGAACUAUUCUCUUUCUGACUUGGUGGGGGAGUAGUAAAGUUUUUGGUGUUUAGAGACUGAUCUGGUCUAAAAGAACAAGUCUGAUGAUUUGGUUGGAGGAUGCAGAGAGGAAGAUGGGAUUAGAAAAUGGAUAUAUAGGCAGUGAAGAAGGAACAUCAAGGUGGACUUUUCCUUGAUAUUUCCUCCUUGUCUAUUUCUCUUUCUUGGUUACUAUGGAAAAAAAAUUAAUAUCAUCUUUGUCGUUAAAUGCAAGAGGACUAUUAUUCAAAUAUGGGGUGCUGACUGAGGAUGGCGGCUAUCUUACGCCCGUUUUUAUUUUAUUAUUUUCAUCUCUAUCAAAAUACGUAAUAAUUGAACAUUUCCUUAAUAAACUAGUCGAUUCCGUUAUCUUCAAAGUCAACAAAAGAUAACAACAGGAGGAGAGGACCUCAAAUUCCAGUGAGUUUGUUUUUUUGUACAUUUUUCCGAAGGUAGAAAAAGAAAAAGAAAGACGUGAAGUGGGUUUUUUAAGUCAUUGUGUUCUGGAAUUUGAGAAAGGGCGGAUGAAUGAGUCAAUUCAACACAUUUGGAGAAGACCGGAAUCAGCUAUUGGAAAGCAUAUUUACACUUCUAGAAUUCUUAAGUAAAUUUGAUUACGGAGACUUUUGUAGAGUUCAGUUUACAGGUAACGGGUUUAAAUGCCAGGAUGACUGACUUAGUCAACAGAUGAAACGCAGAGUUUUGCAAGCGAAUGAGAAAAGUCAAACAAACAUUGUUUUUAAGUAAAUCUAUAAAGACUCUUAAAUUCCUUUUCAAUCUCUCACAAAAUUGUUUUUAAGUCUAUAAAGACCCUUAAAUUCCUUUUCAAUCUCUCACAAAUGUACAAUUCGCCUUCCUUUCGUGAUGGCGGCGAUGAUGAUGAUCUGCACCGUCUUGAAGACGUAGAAGAAGGCGUUACGCUGCAUGAGCAGCCACUCUUUGUCCCAGCAGCUCUUGAGAAGCUCCAUCUUCGAGACGGAGUACUUGUCGAAAACAAGAGCUGCUUUGUGGCCGCGAGACUUGUCGAAAGGUACAGAGAGCUCGUUGGAAAGCUUCUGCCCAACGUGGAAGGACUUGUAUCUGCUGGCGAACUCCGAAACCGGAAUGUACCGGUAAGGUCUGUUCCGGUCCACCCAGUAUUGCUCCUGGUCUUUCUUGGAGGUGACCUCUUGCAAAAAAUCAGCCGUUCCUUUUCUCUCGGGACACUUGAACCCAAAGCUCUCGAAGAACUCGAGGAUGUGGUCUCUGGGUCCUUGGUAUACUAUCUGCCCCUCCGACAACAAGAUGAUGUCAUCGAAUAAGUCAAAAG